rnacentral:lncRNA from 1 species
GCUAUGUUUUGGUUUACCCUCAUUCACGACAUUACGUUGUGUACGGGAUAUUCUGGAUAUGGUGGAUUUUGUACGAAGGUUGUGAGUAGGUCAACAAGGAAUCAGUCACUUCUAGUAAGAGAAGGUAACAUCCUACUUACUCUAAUCUUAUGAUGAUUCACGAAGCCUUUGAUCAAAGCAAAAUGAAUAUUAGAAAGAGUUUCUAAUGUUUCAUUGUUUGAAUUAUCAUAUAAAAGAUUGAGAGAGACAUGAAUAAGUGAUUGAGUUUGAUAUUGAUCCAUACUCGAGCACUUAUUCAGGAUGUAGUGUGACUGAGGGAUUGAAUUGCAUAGUAACUUUCCACUGAAGGGUAUGUUUGGAUUUGUCCAAUACAUUCCUCAUCUUCCGGGUAGACAUGAUACGUUGCUAGACGUCAAUCAUGUCUUGUGGGUUGAUCGGAUCAAAGAGUUUGAUUAGAUCAAAGCAUCAGAAAGGUUCUGAUUGCUAAGUCAGGUUUAGCACUAAAUUGAACCUAAAUUGGAUUAGAGGUAUUCUAAUCAGGUUAGGUCAACUUGCACCUGCACCUACUGCUGGCUAAGAUAAGGAACCCAAUGGGUCACACACAAGGGAAUUGAUCAAGGGUCUAAUUGGAUUAAAUCAUGUUUGCAAGAUGAACAUGCUAGCACGUGUUGCAAACCCUAGCUCCUGAUUCAAAUUAAAUUCGAAUAUGAUUCUUAGAUUUGGUUGAUCUAAUAUGAUUAGAUCAUGACCUAAUA